GAUGAACGCUGGCGGCGUGCCUAAUACAUGCAAGUCGAGCGAACGGACGAGAAGCUUGCUUCUCUGAUGUUAGCGGCGGACGGGUGAGUAACACGUGGAUAACCUACCUAUAAGACUGGGAUAACUUCGGGAAACCGGAGCUAAUACCGGAUAAUAUUUUGAACCGCAUGGUUCAAAAGUAAAAGAAGGUCUUGCUGUCACUUAUAGAUGGAUCCGCGCUGCAUUAGCUAGUUGGUAAGGUACCGGCUUACCAAGGCAACGAUGCAUAGCCGACCUGAGAGGGUGAUCGGCCACACUGGAACUGAGACGCGGUCCAGACUACUACGGGAGGCAGCAGUAGGGAAUCUUCCGCAAUGGGCGAAAGCCUGACGGAGCAACGCCGCGUGAGUGAUGAAGGUCUUCGGAUCGUAAAACUCUGUUAUUAGGGAAGAACAUAUGUGUAAGUAACUGUGCACAUCUUGACGGUACCUAAUCAGAAAGCCACGGCUAACUACGUG
rnacentral:rRNA from 1 species